rnacentral:antisense_RNA from 1 species
AAGAAGAUCUUAAAAAAAAAGACAAUGUCAGUGAUAAAAAGUGGGUGAUGAAUACAUAGGGAAGAAGCCAGUUGAGAUUUUUUUUAAAAUCUUGAAACACAAACUUGGAUAUUGGAGCCUUAGCUUUUAGAAUCCUCCCUGAAAGAAAGAAAAAUACAUGUUUUUCUCCCCCACUAUAUUGUCACUUUCUUGAGGAAGGACAAGGGCUCAUGUAUUCUGUUUAUCUGCAUGCCUGGAGCCUAACCCAAACCUACGUGUGAACUAAUGCAAGCAGCUAAUGCCAAGCCUAACAUGCUCCAUAUGUGUUAGAAGUUUUAAGGUGAAGAAAAGAACUGGCCUUUUUCUUCCUUUAGCCCUGUGAGACAGACAUUCUGCACUUAAAUUAUCAGCCACAGGGCAUCCGUGGCUGGGAAUCCAAACAGAUGCUAAUGAAUUUGGAACAACAUUUAAGUGGCUGAACAAAAAUGGAUCCUAAACACCCCAAAUCAGGUGCAACAAACAAGAAAUAGGCUGACACAUUUCUAUCAGGAAGGCAACCAGAAUGUCAAACUCUUGAAUGAU